ensembl:lncRNA
CAUGACUUGUCCCUGGACUUUGACUACGCUAAGAAAAGUCUUGCUUGAUUAUAGAGGAGCCUAUUGGUUCACUGUGGCAGUCAAGGAAGUCUGGUCACUGUUUACACUUGAGGAGGAGCAGAGUCUUUUUUCAAACUAGGAGGUACAUGUGAGUUCUUGCAAUCUGAAGUUAAAUGGUGUGCAGGUUAACUGAGGAAAGCAACAGAAGUUGGAUUUCAAUUGGAUUGACAGAAACUACAGGCUCACUGAGGUGUCUUCUUGCUCCAGCUUGUUUGAUCCUUGGCAACCUGCCUGGGAGCCAAAAUACAGUGGAAACAACCUCACCCUAUCACCAUUAUCAGCCCAUCAUCCCCAACCAGGCAUCCUGCUAUCUCCAGACAUUUAACCACUACAGACUCCAUGAGAACAUCUGCUGAAAGUCUGGUGAACUACUAGCUUCAGUCAGACUAAGCGUGGCUGGAGAGUUAAGGAAGGUCCAUUCUGUCCACAGUGCAACAUUUUAUGGAGAUCUUGAGUUGACAUCAUCUGAUACCAGUGAUACCAGAUCAUAAAUAAUUUUGAUGCAUACUUUUUUCGUACACCUCUGCCCUUAAACUUCCUUCUCCAAAUUGAGAUUCCUUCUCCAAAAAUGGAUACAGCCUCUCUGAAUACAUCCCUGCAGUCUGGAGGUCACAGUGUGGGCACAGAAUCUCCAAAUCUGUCGAUGAAAUCAUGGGGUUUCACAAAUGACAGUGAUUCUUGCCAGAGUCAACACUGGAACUUCUUCUUGGCCGCUAACUUCAUCAGUGUUGGUAAGUCAAUAAGGCAAAAUAGCAGUGGGGCAGUGGGGCAGUGGUGGCUUGGCGGUUAAGGCUCUGGGUUCCUAUCGGAUGGUCGGGGAUUCAAGACCUAGCACUGCCAAGCUGCCAUUGCUGGGCCCUUGAGCAAGGCCCUUAACCCUCUCUGUUCCAGGGGUGCUGUAUCAUGGCUGACUAUAUAUAUAUCAAGAAGCAAUCUAAUUUUCAGAGCAAAGUUUAUGUCCUUGUUU